ensembl:lncRNA
AGUGUCCAAAAUGAAGUUCAUGAAGGAGGGUGUAAAACUGUCUCCGUACCCCUUCCUUAUCACACUCUAUGUGGAGUAUCGUGAACCAGCCUUUCCAUAUGCAGUGAAAAAUACCAAUGCCUGGAACACACCGGAGGAAAUGUCUAUGAAAAAGUCCAAGAUGUGCUUGUGAGCCAAUGAGGAUAGUCCAGACCACUGCAAUGGAUCAUCCAGAAGAGGGCACUAUGAUCCAACACAGGCAUUAAUAAGCUAACCACUGAGUGCUUUCAGGAGUCCCCUUCCUCGGCCAAUGGUGCAGAAGCGAUGGUUUGUGGCAGUGAGAUUCAUGCUGACUCACAUGUGACUUGUCUACCAGCACCAGAUGUGCAUGAUGCUUGCUGUUUCCCUUCUCUGUUCUUCUGUAAGAGUCCUGCAAAUGCAAAAAAUCCCAACCAUCAUUCCUUGACACAUACAGAUAAGAAAGAAAACGCUGCUUCAGUUUUAAGCUUCAAGCGUUCACUAAAUUGAGUGUGUGUGGGGCAGACCACUCUCAAGAAGGAUCAAAGAAGAAUUAGUUGAAGCUCUCCUGUAUCUGUCAAAGACUUCUAACUUUGGGAUCAUGACUCAAGAAAAUGCCCAGAUUUAUCUCUGUGGUUUUUAUUUUCAGAGGUUACGUAUCGCUGUAACCUGGAGACCAGUAGAGUCAUGAAGAAUUAGAUUAUUAAUACAUCCGCUUGCACUUUAUAGCAGCUGCCAAAAC